UACAGAGGGUGCGAGCGUUGUCCGGAAUCACUGGGCGUAAAGGGCGCGUAGGCGGCCCGGCAAGUCAGUGGUGAAAGCCCGAGGCUCAACUUCGGGUCGGCCACUGAUACUGCUAGGCUUGAGUCGACUAGAGGCAGAUGGAAUUCCGGGUGUAGCGGUGGAAUGCGUAGAGAUCCGGAAGAACACCGGUGGCGAAGGCGGUCUGCUGGGGUCGAACUGACGCUGAGGCGCGACAGCGUGGGGAGCAAACAGG
rnacentral:rRNA from 1 species